CUAAUUGAUACUGAACUUCUCUUAUGACAAUACGGUCAACUAUGCAUGGCCCCAUUACCAGCCCUGGGGCGCCCCUGGGUCAAACAUGCGGCGUGGGGAUAUGCGUCGGUCUCUGCCGCUCCAUUUCUAGUCAACAUUGGAAACAUUGGCAUCUUAAAGGAAUAAAUUAUGUAUGAGCCCAAAUUUUGCAGAACUAUGGCCCUUGCUCAUUUUUGUUUAGCUCCUCAGCUGAAAUCAUCAUCUAGCAGUCACAAUAGUUGAGCGGUUGGAGAGGCAUGCAUUGCGUCCUACUACUGCUCAGACUAUAUCAUGUUUGGCAGACAAAACAUGCUGAUCAAAAAGAAUGUGUACCACAGGGGCCAGUGUUUCCAUUUGAGUGAUUGACAAGAAGAAGAAGAGAUGAGAAAUGUUAUCAUCAUAUUUUAGUCCCUACAUUUAUAGUGUACAGCUCAAUGUAUUGAACCGGUGUUGUAGAAUAUAAUUGGAGAUACAUGCGAACAUUAUAACAUUAUAUAUAAGAUGAUAUUUCAAAAGCAAUAAGAAAUAAAAAGUAUAAAAAGGUCAAAACAGUAAACCUUGUGUUUACAGUGGACAGGUUUAAAGUGGAAGUGACUAGUUAACUGUUGAUCAUAAGCUGCACUGAUGGAAAAAAUAGUGGGAAAUUACUAUCUAGAAAACUGUUUAACGUACGACAACAGUUGUGGAACUUCAUAAAUGACCGUAUGUAACAGGGCUGGGCAAUUUUCCUUAUAUAGCUAUAGUGAAACCUUUUGAACACUAGUGAAGUCACUGUUUUUUUUCCAAUCUUCAUGCAUUUUGGUCGAAUAUUUGUUCAAAUGAUGGCUCAGUCCAGUUUCGAAAUUUUUAUGUCUAUUCAAAAAACAUAUCCACUAGAGCACGAGGCAAUUGUCUUUAUAUGGCUAUAAUGAAACCUUGUAAAUUCUCUAGAAGUGACAUUUUUAGCCAUAUCUCCAUAAAUUUUGGUCAGAAUAUUUAUUCUAAUGAUAGCUCAGUUGUCGAGUUUGUAACUGGUUCCGGUUUGUAGACUAACAUGGCUGCCAGUGGACAUGACAGUUUUUCUUAAAGUGCUAGAGUAGAACCUUGUUAACACACAAUUGGCCCUUUUUAUGUGCAUUUUUCAUGAAAGAUGAUCAGAGCAUUUGGCCCAAUGUAAUCUCAGCUGACUUUGAAACUGGAUCACAUAACGUCAAAAAGUGGGUUAAAAUGUCAAAUUAAAAAAAGCUUGUAAACACUGGAAGUUGCAUUUAAAAUUGUGUUCCUUUUUUAUAUCCCCCACUAUAGUAGUGGCGGACAUAUUGUUUUUGCCCUGUCUGUUGGUUGGUCUGUUGGUCUGUUGGUUGGUUUGCGCCAACUUUAACAUUUGCAAUAACUUUUGCAAUAUUGAAGAUAGGAACUUGAUAUUUUGCAUGCAUAUGUAUCUCAUGGAGCUGCACAUUUUGAGUGGUGAAAGGUCAAGGUCAUCCUUCAAGGUCAAAGGUCAAAUAUAUGGGUCAAAAUCGCUCAUUUAAUGUACACUUUUACAGUAUUUCAAUAUUCAAGAUAGCAACUUGAUAUUUGGCAUGCAUGUGUAUCUCAUGGAGCUGCACAAUUUGAGUGGUGAAAGGUCAAGGUCAAGGUCAUCCUUCAAGGUCAGAGGUCAAAUAUAUGUGGCCCAAAUCGCUUAUUUUAUGAAUUCUUUUGCAAUAUUGAAGAUAGCAACUUGAUAUUUGGCAUGCAUGUGUAUCUCAUGGAGCUGCACAUUUUGAGUGGUGAAAGGUCAAGGUCAUCCUUUACAAGGUCAAG